UAAUUACUUGUUUUGUUUAAUGUUUAAUGUUUUGGCUCAUUGGAGUACAUAUUAAAUACAUAUAAAGCUACUAAAAGAUGAUACACUGGGCUGCAAUCUGCGGAGUAAAAGUGAUGUCUUUUUGCAAAUUUGCUAAAAGUGUAACUGAUUUGAUUCAUGUGGUUCGAUAUUGAGAUUAACCCGGAGAUUCAGUAAAACAUUUGCAAGCUUGAAAUUAGUAUUUAGGAGGUAUAACAGUGCAACAGUUCAAGGUGUAAACGCUUCAGUAUACAGUAGUUUCCAUCAUGCAACCAUUCUGCUCUCCUUUUAAGUGGUGCCCAUGACGUGUAUCUCUGCAAGCUGCCCAAUACGCUGUCGUUGCAGUGUAAUGUUUACCAUAUAUAAAUAAUUGCAACAGGCAAAUGCUCGCUCACAGAAUACAUCAAAACUCUGCUGUGCUUCAAAGAAUUUCCACUUGACACCGGCAUCUCUCACAGCCCUGGUUCCUGCUGGUGGGACAGACCUCUGGUGAAGCCUUCUAUUAACGGCGGCUGUGUGGGGCGGAUAUGCUCAGAUGGUAACGUCGCUUCACUGUAGCAUGCGGUUCUUCUUAGAAGUCAAAAUCCUAUACAUUUAUAGCUUUUUCUGAAAAGCAGUUAAGAGGAAAAAAAGGCUGUGGUUUUUUGUUGCAUAAGUGCAAAUAAGUCUACCGUUUUUUUAAAGGGGAAUCUAGUAUCUGAUUAAGGUCGGGUUCUCAUGCUUGGUAGACAUUGACAGUUGAGUAAUUUUCCUAUUUUGACAUGGUUUGUAUAAUGAUAAAAGUUUUAAAGAGUCGGUAUCAUUCUGAAGGGAAGCUGAAUUUUGAAAAUCAGGUGUUUUUUGGGAACCAGAUUUAGGAAGCCAUGUGAUAACAGAAUGAUGUAAUGAAUAGCCUAUCAGGAAGGAACUGUGGCUUAAUCUCUCAGGACUGACAUUAGGCUCCACCAUGAGGCCUUACCCCAGAAGACAACAGCAGGAACCAGCUGCUUAUCCUGAGACAGUAGAAAGAGACAACUGCAAAAGUUUAUUUCAGAUUCAGAGCAGGGAUAUUUGUUUUUUAAGGACCAGAUUCAGAUCAAGACCAAAGUGGUGUAUGAAUUUGUUUGCAUUCUGCACAUUUAAUUGGAGGGGAAGGUAAACUCUGUGAGGAUGGGAAGAGCUCUCUCCUUUGUUAAGGUGCCUACAAGAUAUAAAUCCUUUUUUCCCCCGGAAGGCAGAGUUAGAAAAUGGCAGCGGAAGAUGCUCACUUUUGCGUCAACUGUUGGCCUGUGGGUGCCUGGUGUUUCAAGUUUUCAAUGAAUGGUGUGAGAUUGAAGAGGAACCAUCACGCAGUAACCACACACGGCCGCUUUGAUCACAUCAUCACAGACUAAGGGCAAUAUUUUCAUGACUUCCUGUGCAUUUCCACUUAAUCAGGAAGGCUAAAAUAAGAGACAGUAGCUUAUUUAAGUCCUACAGCUUCUUUGUAAAUCCCAUUUAUAAAAUUGCUAUUUUGAGAGUCAGAAUAAUUGCAAAUAUCAGACGCCCUUGUUUGGGAGCUAAUCUGCAGGACCAAUGACUUUUUCACUCUUAGUUUGUGUCUUCAUAACAUUUUCAUCUUGGCAGAUAUGCAUUUAACAUAUUUAGUGUGUAGUGUCUGUCCCAUGUGAAAAUAAUUGUUUAAGCCAAAUAAAAGAAACAGUGAUGAAG